AAUUGGGCUUCUGUGAGGGUUGGCCCAUUUGGGAGUGGGACAGGGAAGGCUCAGGAACUGCAUGCAGAGAGACACCAUCCCCUAUGCACUGAUAUCUGAAGCUAGGUCAUGCCAUCUGCCUGCUCCUGGAAUACACAGAAACAAGCUAUGAGGAGAAGAGAUACGCCAUGGGGGACGGUGGAGUGACAGAGGAUUUGUAUGCACAUUUUGGAGAACCAGGCUAUGGACACCCGCAUGCAGAUGAGCAUGGGCUGCUAAAGUGCUGACUCUCUAAGUCCUUAUUGUGUGGAGCAGACAGAGGUUUGCAGGAGCGGUUAAAGCCUUGUGUUAAUAUCUACACUUGUCCUGUUUAGUACCUGAACUUACCCAUUCUGAUUCUCCAAGCUUUCCAAUUCAUCCAACGCAAUCACCCAAUUCUUAUUAGUAAACAUUUUAUAUAAUAAACAUAAAUCCUAAUUCCCAAAUCUUAUUAAUAAACACUUUAUAUCAAUUCUUAGAAAUCUUUGGUAUUGUUGUGAUAGCCAUGACUGGGCAUUUAGUUUCUAUAUAAUAAAUUCAUAUACUCAGAAUUCUCUCUGGCUUUGAACUUGACCACCGUGGUAUGGCAUUUUGCCUAGCUGGUCACAUACAAUCUGCCUGCUCGUUGAGUGCACAGGUUCAAACCGGAAGAAAAUAAAAUAAACCUAAUGUAUUCAGAAAUCCACCAUCAGCUUUCUCAGAGCCGCGUCCCUGGUAGAAGGGUCUCUUCCUGACUGGAAGUUCCUGGUCAGCCUGAGGACCUUUGUCCCUUCUGACAUCGAACAUGGUUCAACUUUGCUCAUGCUGCUCAAAUAUUGGCCCUGCUCUGUGCCAUUUCUCAGGAAUAAUUGUGUCUCUUGUUAACUACUUUGCUUCUCCAGUUCCACUGGACUUUCAGGUGCAGAACUUAUGAGCAACCGCAAAGUUGUCCUGGUUUAGAUGUCGGUGGUGACAGGUCCAGGGACAGGCAUUCCCAUCUAACUCCCAGUCACCCCUGAGUCAGCUCUGCUACCAAGCAGGACUCUGAUUAAUACAACAGGAAUGCAUUACAUAGAAACCAGUGUAAUGACACAGGCCCCAAAUAGAAAGGAGGCUACUCUUCUGCCCAACCCUAUGACGCCAGCCUUUCUCUAGAAUACCUGUGCCUAAGAGUUGUAUUAGCUGUUUUCUA